rfam:Streptomyces albus subsp. albus strain NRRL B-2513 B2513contig6152.1, whole genome shotgun sequence.
GGGCAGUCAUCGCCGAGUCCCCGUCAGGCGCGAGCCUGGGGAGCCGGGGACCCACCGCAGUCCCUGGGGUGAAUCGGAGGCCCGUGCCGCGAACCGGCGCGGGGAUCCGUAGGAGACCUUCCUGCUCCGAACCCGUCAGCUAACCCGGUAGGCGAGAAGGAAGGAAAG